rnacentral:rRNA from 1 species
AGUCGAGGGGCAGCAUUUCAGUUUGCUUGCAAACUGGAGAUGGCGACCGGCGCACGGGUGAGUAACACGUAUCCAACCUGCCGAUAACUCGGGGAUAGCCUUUCGAAAGAAAGAUUAAUACCCGAUGGUAUAAUCAGACCGCAUGGUCUNAUUAUUAAAGAAUUUCGGUUAUCGAUGGGGAUGCGUUCCAUUAGGCAGUUGGUGAGGUAACGGCUCACCAAACCUUCGAUGGAUAGGGGUUCUGAGAGGAAGGUCCCCCACAUUGGAACUGAGACACGGUCCAAACUCCUACGGGAGGCAGCAGUGAGGAAUAUUGGUCAAUGGGCGCAGGCCUGAACCAGCCAAGUAGCGUGAAGGAUGACUGCCCUAUGGGUUGUAAACUUCUUUUAUAUGGGAAUAAAGUUUUCCACGUGUGGAAUUUUGUAUGUACCAUAUGAAUAAGGAUCGGCUAACUCCGUGCCAGCAGCCGCGGUAAUACGGAGGAUCCGAGCGUUAUCCGGAUUUAUUGGGUUUAAAGGGAGCGUAGGUGGACAGUUAAGUCAGUUGUGAAAGUUUGCGGCUCAACCGUAAAAUUGCAGUUGAUACUGGCUGUCUAGAGUACAGUAGAGGUGGGCGGAAUUCGUGGUGUAGCGGUGAAAUGCUUAGAUAUCACGAAGAACUCCGAUUGCGAAGGCAGCUCACUGGACUGCAACUGACACUGAUGCUCGAAAGUGUGGGUAUCAAACAGGAUUAGAUACCCUGGUAGUCCACACAGUAAACGAUGAAUACUCGCUGUUUGCGAUAUACAGUAAGCGGCCAAGCGAAAGCAUUUAAGUAUUCCACCUGGGGAGUACGCCGGCAACGGUGAAACUCAAAGGAAUUGACGGGGCCCCGCACAAGCGGAGGAACAUGUGGUUUAAUUCGAUGAUACGCGAGGAACCUUACCCGGGCUUAAAUUGCAUUUGAAUANUNUGGAAACAGGUUAGCCGCAAGGCAAAUGUGAAGGUGCUGCAUGGUUGUCGUCAGCUCGUGCCGUGAGGUGUCGGCUUAAGUGCCAUAACGAGCGCAACCCUUAUCUUUAGUUACUAACAGGUCAUGCUGAGGACUCUAGAGAGACUGCCGUCGUAAGAUGUGAGGAAGGUGGGGAUGACGUCAAAUCAGCACGGCCCUUACGUCCGGGGCUACACACGUGUUACAAUGGGGGGUACAGAAGGCAGCUACCUGGUGACAGGAUGCUAAUCCCAAAAGCCUCUCUCAGUUCGGAUCGAAGUCUGCAACCCGACUUCGUGAAGCUGGAUUCGCUAGUAAUCGCGCAUCAGCCAUGGCGCGGUGAAUACGUUCCCGGGCCUUGUACACACCGCCCGUCAAGCCAUGAAAGCCGGGGGUACCUGAAGUACGUAACCGCAAGGAGCUCCUAGG